CCUACGGGGGGCUGCAGUGGGGAAUAUUGCACAAUGGGGGAAACCCUGAUGCAGCGACGCCGCGUGAGUGAAGAAGUAUUUCGGUAUGUAAAGCUCUAUCAGCAGGGAAGAAACCCACCCUCCGGGGUGGCUGACGGGACCGGACUAAGAAGCCACGGCUAACUACGUGCCAGCAGCCGCGGGAAUACGUAGGGGGCAAGCGUUAUCCGGAUUUACUGGGUGGAAAGGGAGCGUAGGUGGCAAGGCAAGUCAGAUGUGAAAACCCGGGGCCCAACCCCGGGAGUGCAUUUGAAACUGUCUGGCUAGAGUGCAGGAGAGGUAAGUGGAAUUCCUAGUGUAGCGGUGAAAUGCAUAGAUAUUAGGCGGAACACCAGUGGCGAAGGCGGCUUACUGGACUGUAACUGACACUGAGGCUCGAAAGCGUGGGGAGCAAACAGGAUUAGAUACCCUUGUAGUC
rnacentral:rRNA from 1 species